CCAGGGUUUAGUUUAGUCUAUCUUUUGGUGAAAAUGUCCUGGUCAGCAGGGCAAAGCGUCCUGAAGAGGCUACUGGUCACUGUGCUGGGACUUUUGUGCACCCAGGUUUGCUGUGUGACAGGAUUGAUGGUGAAGCAGAGUCCCCCAGACCUGAGUCUCCAGGAAGGACUCAGCUGCACGCUGCAGUGCAAUUUUUCCACCUCUGUGAACAGGGUGCAGUGGUUUCGCCAAAAUCCUGGGGGCCACCUCAUCCACCUGUUUUACAUUCCUUCCGGGACAAAGCAGAAUGGAAGAUUACGCUCUACGACCGUGGUUGAGGAUCGCCGCAGCUUGCUCUACAUUUCCUCCUCCAGCACCACAGACUCAGCCAUUUAUUUCUGCGCCGGGGCAGAGUCACAAUGCUCCCCAGGCACCUGCAGCCUGUGCACAAACCCUCAGCAGGACUUGGCUCCUCCUCCAGCCGCAGUCAGAUCCAGAAGCCCACCACACGGCAUUGGCACGGCUUAA